UGGGGAAUAUUGGACAAUGGGCGAAAGCCUGAUCCAGCAAUGCCGCGUGAGUGAUGAAGGCCUUAGGGUUGUAAAGCUCUUUUACCCGGGAAGAUAAUGACUGUACCGGGAGAAUAAGCCCCGGCUAACUCCGUGCCAGCAGCCGCGGUAAUACGGAGGGGGCUAGCGUUGUUCGGAAUUACUGGGCGUAAAGCGUACGUAGGCGGCUUUGUAAGUUAGAGGUGAAAGCCCGGGGCUCAACCCCGGAAUUGCCUUUAAGACUGCAUCGCUUGAACGUCGGAGAGGUGAGUGGAAUUCCGAGUGUAGAGGUGAAAUUCGUAGAUAUUCGGAAGAACACCAGUGGCGAAGGCGGCUCACUGGACUGGUAUUGACGCUGAGGUGCGAAAGCGUGGGGAGCAAACA
rnacentral:rRNA from 1 species